CAAAAUUUAUUCAUUUAUUUUUAUUUAGAAAAAACUUUAAAUACCACCUCUGUGAUUUCACAAUUUCUCACUUUAGUACUCUGUGGUUUAAAAUUAGUGCCCUGUGGUUUAUUUCACUAAUUUAUUUUCGUUAAAUCAGUGAUAAAGUUAAAACUAAAUGGUACUAAAGUGAACAUUCGAUAAACUAUAGUCUAUAGGUGGGGUAUCUGAAGUUUUUUGUAUAUAAUUUAACACAAUAUUAACGAAAAAAUUGACGAAAAGACACUAAACUUGAUACACUUUAAACCACAUGGCACUAAAUUGAGAAAGUGCGAAACAACAGGGGUGGUAUUUGAAGUUUACGCUUUUAUU
rnacentral:lncRNA from 1 species